CCUCUUGGAAUUUGUGUCUUCUGCAGAGGAAACCCCAAGAAGACUGAUCAGUUGUUCAAUUCUAAAACAAUGGCCCAGGGUUUGGUGACAUUCGCCGACAUAGCCAUAGACUUUUCUCAGGAGGAAUGGGCCUGUCUGAACUCUGCUCAUAGGGACCUGUACUGGGAUGUGAUGCUGGACAACUAUAGUAACGUGGUCUCACUGGAUUUGGAAUCAGCCUAUGAGACUAAGAAUUUACCUACAGAAAAAAGCCUUCAUGAAAUACGCAUUUCCAAAAGGAAUUCAGAUAGAAGAAGUAAAUCCCUUGGCCAUAACUGGAUAUAUGAAGGUACAUCUGAAAGACCACAGCGCUCCAGAGGCAGGUAUGUCAAUCGAAUGAUCAUCAGUUGUGUAAAAAGGCCCACUACUAGAGAAGGCACCCCUCCCAGAUCCCAUCAGAGACAUCCUAAGGAGAAUUCCUUUGAAUGUAAGGAUUGCGGGAAGGCCUUUAGUCAUGGCUAUCAACUUGGUCAACAUCAGAAAAUCCGUACUGGUGAGAAACCUAACGAAUGUAAAGAAUGUAAGAAGUUCUUCCAAUGGGGCAAUCAGCUUACUCAGCAUCAGAAAAUCCAUACCGGGGAGAAGCCGUAGGAAUGUAAAGACUGUGGGAAGGCUUUUCCAUGGGGCUCAAGCCUCGUUAUUCAUAAAAGAAUUCAUACUGGGGAGAAAUCCUACGAAUGCAAAGACUGUGGCAAGGCCUUCCGGCGUGGCGACAAGUUCGCGCAGCACCAGAGGUUCCACACUGGGGAGAAAGACUACAAGUGCAAAGACUGGGAAGACUUUUAGCCGCGUAUACACUCAUUCAGCACAAGAGAAUUCACAGUGGGGAGAAGCCUUACAAAUGUAAAGACUGUGGGAAGGCCUUUAUUUGUGGCUCAAGCCUCAUUUAGCAUAAAAGAAUUCACACAGGUGAGAAACCCUAUGAAUGUCAAGAAUGCGGGAAGGCCUUCACUCCAGUAAAUGACCUUACUCGGCAUCAGAAGAUCCAUACCAGUGAGAAGCCCCACGAGUGUAAGGAGUGCAGGAAGGCCUUUCGCUGGGGUUCCAGUCUUGUGAAGCACGAGAGGAUACACAUGGGCGAGAAGCCGUACAAAUGCACAGAAUGUGGGAAGGCCUUCAACUGUGGCUAUCAUCUUACUCAACAAGAGAGAAUCCACACGAGCGAAACCCUGUCCAAAUGUAAGGAGUGUGGGAAGGCUUUCAUUUACGGCUUGAGCCUGGUGAAACACGAGUGAAUUCAUACCAGGGUGAAGCCCUACGGGUGUACAGAAUGUGGAAGGAGCUUUAGUCAUGGCCAUCAGCUUACACAGCACCAGAAAACACACAGUGGGCCAAAAUCCUACAAAUGUAAGGAAUGUGGGAAGGCGUGUCACCAGCUAAACCUCCUCCGAGAACAUCAGAGGAUCCACAACAGUUGAUGCGCCCUUUGAACUCAGCCGCCUGCUGUUAUCCGUGGAUUCGCUCUCCACAUUUUGUUACCUGCAGUCAACUGCAGUUCAAAAAUAUUAAAUGGAAAAUUCCAGAAAUAAAUUGUAAGGUUCAAAUGGUGUGCCCUUCUGAGUAGCGGGAUGACAUCUCUUGCUGUCCUGCUGCAAUCAGCCAGGGAUGUGACUUGCACCUUGGUCCAGCACAUCCACGCUGUAUAUGCUGCCAUCCUGCUAGUCACUUAGUAGCUGCCUUGGUGGUCAGAUCGACUGUCACGGCAUCACAGUGCUUGUGCUCAAGUAAUCUUUACUUCACUUAACAGUGGCCCCAAAGAGCAAGAGUAGUGAUGCUGGUAAUUUGGAUAUGCCAAAGAGAAGCCACAAAGUGCUUCCUUUUUAGUGAAAAGGUGAAAGUUCUCAA